rnacentral:rRNA from 1 species
UACGUAGGGUCCGAGCGUUGUCCGGAAUUAUUGGGCGUAAAGGGCUCGUAGGCGGUUCGUCGCGUCGGGGAGUGAAAACUCGGAGCUCAACUCCGAGCCUGCUUCCGAUACGGGCAGACUAGAGGUAGGCAGGGGAGAGCGGAACUCCUGGUGUAGCGGUGGAAUGCGCAGAUAUCAGGAAGAACACCGGAGUGGAAGGCGUCUCUGGCGGCUAACCUGACGCUGAGGAGCGAAAGCGUGGGGAGCGAACAGG